rnacentral:rRNA from 1 species
UACGUAGGGUGCAAGCGUUGUCCGGAAUUAUUGGGCGUAAAGAGCUCGUAGGUGGCCUGUCGCGUCGGCUGUGAAAUCCCCGGGCUCAACCUGGGAAUGGCAGUGGAUACUGGCAAGCUAGAGUGCGGUAGAGGGUAGUGGAAUUCCCGGUGUAGCAGUGAAAUGCGUAGAGAUCGGGAGGAACACCAGUGGCGAAGGCGGCUACCUGGACCAGCACUGACACUGAAGCACGAAAGCGUGGGGAGCAAACAGG